CUAUUUGAAAACAGAAGAAAAAGUUAGAUAUAUAAAUAAACCUGGGAUAAACUUCUGUAAAAUUUGACUUCUCCCUGAUACUUUAAAAAAUAUAUAUACUACAGCUUGCCCUAUGUGCAGAAAAAUUGCAAGAGAUUUGACAGAAGCAUCAUUAUCAGGUGCAGGAUUGUGUACAGUAGCAGCUCUUGCCAUGAUGUUUUUAACUUGGAAUGAUAGGGAAAGCUUUUUUGAAGCGGCUGAAAGUGUUCCUGGGACAUCAUUCGCCAUAUGUAUCAAUCAGUUCAAAAUCCCUCUGUGAAUUUCAGUAUUGGUGGAUAACAUACAGUCACAUCAUGAAAAGGUAAAUUAAGAUAUACUAAGGGAUCCCACUUCCAAUAUCAUGACCGAGACAGAAAUAGGAAGACUUUGAGAAAUACAAAGGAUGCUUAUGCAGAUUGCAGAUUAAAGUUUUGAGUUCUGAAAUUUUUUCUGAUGCAAAGACUAUUAAGGUCGCUUGAAUAUAUGACGAUACUUGGAGCGUCUGUCAAGGAUCUGAACCCAUGAAGUCAAGGUUGCUGUGUUGCCACUUUUGAGAGAUUCUAUUUGUUUCGAGUGCAGAGAUAGAGAUAGACUGUGAAAGGAAAAAAGGAGUGAUUGAUCUGGAUUUAUUUGACAAGAGGUGUAGAGAUAGAGAGAAAUUGUGAAAGCAGAAGAGGAGGAAUCGGUGUUGGAGAAGAGGCUUCAAACGUAGAAGACAGGACAUCAAUUGAUAGCAGGUAAUAUAGAAAGAAGAACAGGGAUCUGGGUCUGAGUUUGUUUUGGAUUGCUCAUCUAUUUGUGUCUUUAUUUUUCUUCUUAUACUGAGUUUUUGUUUUGAAAUGCUCCGGUGAAUUGGUUUCAGACUAAAUUCCUGUCAGCUUUGUAGUUAUCGGUUUGCUUGCAUAAUUGUUAUCAGCUUCAUAGUUGUUGCUUUCA